rnacentral:ncRNA from 1 species
UACCUGAUUGAUUCUGUCAGCGCGAUAUGCUCAAGUAAAAGAUUAAGCCAUGCAUGCUUUGAUUCAUAAAUGAAAUUGCGUACGGCUCAUUAGAGCAGAUAUCACCUUUCUCGGAAUCCUGAAAAGGAUAACUGCGGAAAUUCUGGAGCUAAUACAUGCGACUAUACUCCAACGCAAGGCGGGGUGCAAUUAUUAGAACAGACCAAACGUUUUCGGACGUUGUUUGUUGACUCUGAAUACCGUCGUUUACUGUCAGUUUCGACUGACUCUAUCCGAGAAGGGUGUCUGCCCUUUCAACUAGAUGGUAAUCUAUUGGACUACCAUGGUUGUUACGGGUAACGGAGAAUUAGGGUUCGACUCCGGAGAGGGAGCCUUAGAAACGGCUACCACGUCCAAGGAAGGCAGCAGGCGCGAAACUUAUCCACUGUUGAGUAUGAGAUAGUGACUAAAAAUAUAAAGACUCAUCCUUUUGGAUGAGUUAUUUCAAUGAGUUGAAUAUAAAUUAUUCUUCGAGUAGCAAGGAGAGGGCAAGUCUGGUGCCAGCAGCCGCGGUAAUUCCAGCUCUCCUAGUGUAUCUCGUUAUUGCUGCGGUUAAAAAGCUCGUAGUUGGAUCUAGGUUACGUGCCGCAGUUCGCAAUUUGCGUUAACUGUGGUCGUGACUUCUAAUUUGCUGGUUUGAGGUUGGGUUCGCCCUUCAACUGCCAGCAGGUUUACCUUGAAUAAAUCAGAGUGCUCAAUACAGGCGCUUGCUUGAAUAGCUCAUCAUGGAAUAAUGAAACAGGACUUCGGUUCUUUUUGUUGGUUCUAGAAUUGAUCUAAUGGUUAAGAGGGACAAACCGGGGGCAUUCGUAUCAUUACGCGAGAGGUGAAAUUCGUGGACCGUAGUGAGACGCCCAAUAGCGAAAGCAUUUGCCAAGAAUGUCUUCAUUAAUCAAGAACGAAAGUCAGAGGUUCGAAGGCGAUUAGAUACCGCCCUAGUUCUGACCGUAAACGAUGCCAUCUCGCGAUUCGGAGGGUUCAUGCCCUAUCGAGGAGCUACCCGGAAACGAAAGUCUUUCGGUUCCGGGGGUAG